GGGGCCUGUGGUCUGAGAGUUCCCUUUAAGGACACAACUAAUCCAAUAACCCAAGGAUCUCCCAGUAGGCCUCACCUUCAUAGACCCCACACCCUGAUCUAAUAACUUUAAAAGAAAUAUGGCUGAGGGAGACUUCAUGGGACCUUGUUGCUAGAGAGUGAAGUAGACAUCCCAAAAGAGAUGGGAAAUAGGGAAACGGUGGUCUGCCCUUUCAAGUAGCAUGAAUUCCAUCCAUACAAGGCCGGAGAGCUGAGCGCAAUAAAAUUCAGCCUCAGGCCUUUGGCGGCCUCCACCCGAGGUGGUCACCUAGGGAAUUAAGCCGAAAGACCUUCAGCAGACUACUGGCUUAUCUCUGAAAGAGGUUCCCCUAGAAGUUCAGCUGAGAGACAACUACACCGGGCCUGAGGAUGUCCAUAGACAACGGAGCCCUUGGUGACCUUCCCUGGUGACUCCCUUGUGACUCCCUCCUGACUCUUCCUUAACUUCUCAAUGUUUAUGUUAUGCAAAUGUCAUUGUAACCUAGAGAUCCAGUUUGGCUUUCAUGUAUAAAUGCUGACACCCAAAAGUAAAGUGGCGAGCCUUGAUUAGAAACCCUCAA